rfam:Triticum aestivum genome assembly, contig: Triticum_aestivum_CS42_TGACv1_scaffold_249029_3DL
CUUAUACUCCCUCCGCCCGAAAUUACUUGUCACAUAAAUGGAUGUAUGUAGACAUAUUUUUAGUUAAGUCCAUUUCUAUCCAUUUCUGCGACAAGUAAUUCGGGACGGCGGGAGUAUUUG